rnacentral:rRNA from 1 species
AUUGAACGCUGGCGGCAUGCCUUACACAUGCAAGUCGAACGGUAACGGGCCUUCCGUUGCCGUCGAGUGUCGAAGGGGGGAGGAAUAGAUCCGCAUGUACACGCUCGCUGUGGAACAGGGGGCGAAAGCUUUGCUAAUACCGCAUACGAGAUACGAUUUAGAGCAGGGUACUUCAAUGCCUUAAGCGGGUGUUGCGGCCGAUGGCAGAUUAGCUAGUUGGGGGGAUAAAAGCUUACCAAGCCGACGAUUUGUAGCUGGCCUGAGAGGAUGAUCAGCCACACUGGAACUGAGACACGGCCCAGACUCCUACGGGAGGCAGCAGUAGGGAAUCUUCGACAAAGGGCGAAAGCCUGAUCCAGCCAUGCCGCGUGAAGGAUGAAGGCCUUCGGGUUGUAAAAUUCUUCUGUAAGGAAAGAAAAGACUUCUUAGAAACCAGGAGCGUCAUGACGGUACCGUAAGAAAAAGCCCCGGCUAACUACGUG